UCAAACACAUGAAUUUGUUUAAAACACUUCGCAACUGUUUAGGCUAAAUGUUAAAAAUUCGAUAUAAUGUCAAAUUUUCGUUCAAUAGAACCGAUUUUGAGCUGUUCAAUUUUAAUACGCAAAAGCGAAUUAUCAAACAUGAAUAGGUAAGAACGUGAUUUUUAAGCUCUAAUAUUUUGCACGCUCGUAUCUGGCUUGGAAAUUAAGGCAUCGAUAAAAUACCGACGUACAAACACAGAGACAAUAAUGUUCUUAAGUUUGAUAGUCAGUUUCAUAUUAAAACAUCACAGC